CAUACCUAUUCGAAGGGAUAGGGUCGGCUCGGCCGGAUUUUACACAAGUGUUGCAUGGCCGUCGUCAGCUCGUGUCGUGAGAUGUUGGGUUAAGUCCCGCAACGAGCGCAACCCUCAUCCUUAGUUGCCAUCAGGUAAUGCUGAGUACUUUAAGGAAACUGCCAGUGAUAAGCUGGAGGAAGGUGGGGAUGAUGUCAAGUCAUCAUGGCCUUUAUGGAGUGGGCUACACACGUGCUACAAUGGUGUCUACAAUGGGUUGCAAGGUGCGCAAGCCUAAGCUAAUCCCUAAAAGACAUCUCAGUUCGGAUUGUACUCUGCAACUCGAGUACAUGAAGUUGGAAUCGCUAGUAAUCGUGGAUCAGCAUGCCACGGUGAAUACGUUCUCGGGUCUUGUACACACUGCCCGUCACGCCAUGGGAAUUGGUUUCACUCGAAGCU
rnacentral:rRNA from 1 species